rnacentral:rRNA from 1 species
ACUCCUACGGGAGGCAGCAGUGGGAAUAUUGCACAAUGGGCGCAAGCCUGAUGCAGCCAUGCCGCGUGUGUGAAGAAGGCCUUCGGGUUGUAAAGCACUUUCAGUUGUGAGGAAAGGUUAGUCGCUAAUAUCGGCUAGCUGUGACGUUAGCAACAUAGAAGCACCGCUAACUCCGUGCAGCAGCCGCGGUAUACGGAGGGGUGCGAGCGUUAAUCGGAAUUACUGGGCGUAAAGCGCGUGUAGGUGGC